rnacentral:lncRNA from 1 species
GUUUUAUGUAAUUUAUUAUACCCUUGUAGGUUGAGAAGUGCUUGAUACCUCUAUCUACUUUAGAAUUAUACUCAGAAGUUGUUAGCUUUCUUCCUUUGUGUCCUUGGAGUAAUGUUACCAAGAAAAGGAUUUUUGAAUUUUCUUACUGUGGAUGUUUUAUUGAAGCUAUGGGAUUUCAAACAUAAUUUCUUGAGCCAAGAAUAACACUCAUCUAGUCAGCAGUAUUUGAAGGUGCUUUGGUUUUUGUUUAACAUAAUUCAAAACUUUCGGCGAACUAAAGUAGUCCUCAGGUCUGAGGGAAAAAAUUGAUUUUCAUAGAUUAAUUUCACUAUCUUAUUUAUAGAUCUUGUUUCAAUUUUUUUUUUUUCCAGAGGGACUCCAAUGUAAGACUUGUGGUAAACCCCCAGAGGGUCAUUUUUUCUAUUAUGCACAUCAUAACAAGCAACUAACUAUUAAAGCUAGACAUCUUCCUGUUGACAAAGGCCUGGUGAAAUUGAAGUAAAGCUUUGGAUGUAGAUUUGCUGUGGUCAAUGUAGUCAUAGAUGUCCUAUGUUGUUCUAUUGAUAAUAAAUGAUUUUGAUUUCAAGGAUUUGGUUGUAAUAUAUCGACUUACAUAACAUCACAUAUCUAUUCACUCCUUGUCAUAUGUGAUGAGUGAUUUACACUCAUUAUAUUAUGUCAUUAAUUUCAUGAUUUUGCUAUCUUGGAGAGUAUUUUAGAAGUGCUAACAAGUGAUUUUGGUGUUAUUUUGUAGAUUGAUGGAAGUGGAGAAUACAAGAGCUAAAAGAGGUCAAAGGAAGGAAAUAGGCAAAAGCUAGCGAAAUUAGAUGAAAUGACCAAAACGUAAGAGAUCCAAAGUUCGAGGAUUAAAAUGCAAUUAAUCAAAAGUCGUGUCGAAACUUGAAAUGAAGAUCCGAGAGUUCUAGAAGCCAAUUGGAUGAAGGAAGGUGCCAAAGGGAUCAAAUUUAGUCAAAAUAUGAUCAUAAAUCAUUUUCCAACCAAAAAGUUUUGCGCCGGAGUUUUGAUCUCACAUUUAGACUCAUUUUGACAUAGAAAACGAUCGAAUUGGAGAAUGAUUCCUGAUGCAAAAUUGUAUUCCAUUGAAUUAUCUUUCCAACGCAUCUUGAAUCACUUUAAUCGGAUAUCGAACGAAAAAGUUAUGACAAAAAUACUAAAAGCUAUCCAAUGCAACCGAAGUAAUCCUCAGUGUUCAGGCGCCAUGAUGCUGAAAUUUUGACAGAAAGUCAGCGCCUAGACGCCCAAUCGUAGCGCCCAGACGCCGCCGUGCGAGAGUAAUUUUUUUAGGUUUUUGCCAUUCUUUUUCGACCCAACUCAUCUCCAAAUCAUUCCCUAGACUCCAAGACAUUAUAAACACAGAAUUGAAGACCUAAAUUAGAGGGGAGCCGCACACUAAAAAUCUGUGGAAUCAAGCUAUGCGUUCUUGACAUAUUGGAGAGAAGACAACAAGAAGGGAGAUUGAAAAGAAAAAUUCAAGAAGAUUAACACCAAGCAAUUGAAGAUUAAAAGCAUUCAUUGGAAAGGAAAGGAGAUCUUGGUACAAGAAUUCUACUUUUUCUUCUACAUCUUUAUUACAAAUCCGGUGAUGUAUUCUGAGACAAUUUCCUAUUUUUCUUCCAUUAUUAUGAGUAGUUAAAUUUGAUUUUAGGGCGAACAAUGUAAUCUUUUGGAAUCAUUUAUUUCAUGCAAUUGAGAUUCUAGUGCUUUUAUAUUUUAUGUGUUGAUUUUAAUGUUGUUUUUAAUACAUUUAAUUACUUGAUCACUAAUUAGAUGAUUUGUGAAUAAUGAUUGCGUAGAGAUGCGGAUUAUUUGUUUAGACCAAAUGUUAAAAUUCGGUAAAUUGAUAUAACGUGUAGAGAUACCUAUAUUGAUUGCUGCGGUCGUGUGUGAAUUCUUAGAACCAAUGUUUCGUUUAAUUAAAUUUAUUUUGCAUAGAGAUAUGGAAUUAAACUAAUUAAAUAGGUUCAAUGAGAACUCGAGAGGGGUAAGUUGAAUACAAUAGAAGAAUUCGAUCGAACACUGCCUUAGGUUUUAUGAAUCUUGAUUUAUAAAGUAAAGGUGACCAAUAGGUGAAAUUGUUCCGCCCUAACAUCCAUUUAUUGUUUGAAUUCUCAAUCCCUUUUCGUUGCAUCCAAUCGCAUUUUUAAGUCUUUAGAAUAAAAAUCACAUUUAAUUAUUUUUUUUUUUAUUUUCGUCAAAUAGCAGUUAGAAAUAAUAAAUUGGGCAUUAAAAGUACAGUCCUCGUGGGAACGAUAAUCCGGACUCAAAAGUUCCACUUUACUACUUGUUACGAUCUAUUCACUUGCGGGAUAAAAUCGACAACAAUAUGCAAACUAUUAUAUUUCAAAUUUGGUCGAUGCCCCUGCAGUUAUGUCACAACCUAUAUGCCAUUACAAUGGUCAUAGAACAAAUUGCAUUGUGUGGAUACUGUUUAGCUUUCAAACUUCUCGAGAACUACUGAUAAAGGUAAUGAAACUGGAGUUUUUAACUAGAAAACAUCAGUUUCUUCUGUCAUAUGCAGUGAAGGCAUGAACUAGAUAAGAAGAGUGGGAGUGGGGUGGAAAGUGGGUUGGAUUGGAAUGGGGUGGGAAGGGAAGGAAGCGGAGUGUUUGUGACAAAUUAUUUGGUUGAUUGUGACAUCGAUAAAAUAUAUUAUUUGUAACCAAUAAAUAAUAUGUGACCUAAAAAAUAUGAAAAUUUGAUUAAAUUUGCAAUCGUGAUUUACUAUUUGUAAAGUUGUGACCAAAUAAUUUAAUAAUUUGUGACGAAGAAAUAACUUUAACUAAUUAGUUUGAUAAUUUGUUACUAUGAAAUAAGUUAUAAUCUAUAAAAUCUGUAAUUUGUGCUAAAAAAAAACAAACAAAGUUCAAAGCAACUAUUUCAAUAAAUUAUGAUCGAGAAAUAACUUGUGACCAAUUAGCUUGUAACAUAAAAAAUAUGUGAUUGUGACUUAAUUCAUAAUUGCGACCUCCAAUUUGUGUCUUUGUAACCAAUUAAUAUGUCACAUUCAACACAUUAUUGGUCACAAUCAAUCACAUUUAGCACAAACUUGAUCACAGAAGGUCAUAAUUAACAUAUAAACAAUCACAAACUUUUUAAUGUAAGUAGAUUUUAUCACAAAAAUUCACUAUCAACAGAUGUGAUUACAAGUCACUAUUAACAUAGAUUUGGUCAAAGACGGUCACAACUAAGACAGACCUAGUUACAGAGAAUCACAAUAAAAAUAUACUUGAUCAUAGUGGUCACAGUUAAAACAGGUCUGGUCACAAAUAAUAAUAGUUUACACAAAUAUGGUCACAAACAAUAAAAGGUUAUAUAGAUCAAUCACAAAUAGACACUAUUAAAUACAAUCUGGUUACGUACAGUAACAAAACACGGCCAAUACAUCACAAUCAAUAUGCAUAAAUUGGCAAUACUUCGUCAAGCAAAUUACAUUCCCUCGAUAACAAGCUGUAACUCUUUUUCCAAUUAAUUUCUCCCUCUAAAUGAAACACAUAUUCCCAAAAUGUAUGUCCCGAGUAUAAAACAAAGAAAAGUGUAAAGAAAUCAGCCCAUAGAAAGAAAAAAAAAAUUUACAACUCAAUCCACAUGAAUGUUUUGCACCAGAUCUUAGAACAGGAAGAAAACUUCUCAUACAAUUUCAAAUUCAAGAAGUGGACGCAUCAGCAUUACCUAUGAUCCAAUCUCAGUCAAUAAUUCUCCACUCUAAUAACCCUUUUAUCCCCUCAAAUCUUCACUUGUGAUUAUGGCCCAUUCCCCACCACAUAGUACCCCUCCAACCGCAACAAUCGAAUACAAAAUUCAUAAUCUUUUUCAGUUUUUAACCCAACANGCCUUGAAAAUCCUUGGUCGGGGAUGAAGUUGGCCGCCGGCGACUGCGAGAGUAUAGUGCGAGAGUGGAGAGACGGAGAGAGACGCGAUAAGUCCCAGCGAAUUCAUUGUUUUGUUUAACCGGUUCCGGGCCAGUUUGGGUGGGCUGUGCAGUUGGGAGCAUCAUUGGGCCUAUUGGAGCCCAAAUUCAGUUAUACUAAUAAACGGCAACGUUCAUCAAACGUUGUCAAAACUAGUCAACGGCAACAUUCAAUAAACGUUACUAAAACAUAUACAGCAACAUGCAUCGCCCGUUGCAAAAACUAUUUAACAACAACAUUUAUCGAACGUUGCUAAAACUAAUUAAUCGCAACGUUCGAACGGUCGUUGCUAAAACAAGUAACGGCAACGUGUAUUGCCCGUUGCCAAAACCAAUCAAUGGCAACGUUCAGUAAACGUUGCCAAAACAUCUACAGCAACGGUCAAUGCACGUUGCCAAAAAAAAACAUAAACAACGGUCUUUGAACGUUGCGAAAGGGGGUAUUAGCAACAACCAUUCAAAGAACGUUGUUAAAUCUUACUUUUCUCAACCAAUGGCAACAUACAUUUGCUGAAUGUUGCAAUAAAUCACUUUUAGCAACAUACAAUUGGUGAAUGUUGCCAUUGAAUCAUUUUUCUUGUAGUGGUUAUCCAAAAGUUGGAGAUAUUUGGAAUUGGAAAAAGUUGCAACUCAAGAGCUGGUGAUUCUCAUAAUACAUGGCUGGCUGACGAAACUACUCCCUAAUGUAGAGAAUAACAUAGUCAAAUUUAUCAACUUCGUUGAUGUAGAGCUAUUAAAAGUUAGGAAUGUCAUCUUUGGCCAAAAUGAGAAAGGGUGAUCAUAUCACGAAAAUGUGAAAUUGUAACUCACGUACUUUGAAACCAUCAAAAUGUUUACGAGGAAUGACAAUCAGAGUCUCACCUAAAACUAAAGAAGAAAUCCAUGGCAAAUAUUGAUUCGAUUCAUGUUUUAGUUCCAUUCUUUCUAAACAUACCCAACAUGUUCAAUGUUAACACUUUUGUAAAAUAUGACGACACAUGCUAAAAUCUUACAACUUCAAAUGUACAAGUAAUUAACUAGACAAGAAGCAUUUACAUAAAGGGAAAAAAAUUAAAUUAAACUGUAAAUGUAGCAAGCAGGACAUAUUGCUUCCAAUUUCAACCAGGAGGAUAAAUAAAAAGAGUCUAACCCAAGGGAUGCUUUUCAUUUUACAAAAACUAUAUGGAAAUUUUCAUUCUAAGAAAAAAGGUGUAAUGCUUAAAUAAUCCUGAACAGGACAUCUUGGAUAAGUUGUUUCUCUUUAGUCCUUAACCAUUUUAUGUAAUAUAUCAUUCUAUGAUACUUUGUGGUCACCAAAUCACUCUAAUUUACAAGUUUUGAACGUUUUCUUCACUAGUUGAUCUUAUGAUUACUAAUGUAAAUGGAGAUAUCAAAUAAGUUUAUGAUAGAAUCAAAACAGAAUAUCCACAAAGAAUAACUGAGUUUACAGCUGGGGCAAAUUAUCAAACACCUUGAACCCAUUAAAUUGCACGAUAAUAGAAAGACAAAUGAAUUAAGGGAAAAAAAAUACAAAACUAAUGAUGGUAAAUAAUAAUUCACACGAACUAUUCUAUUAUACAUAGCUAGUGAGUUAUCAUUGUUUCUAACAACUCAAAUAGUGUAGUGUGGCUUCAUCUUGAAUUCUAUAUGCAAAAGAAAUUUAAGCUCACAACAGCAUGUUAUCUUGGAGUUCAUCAAAUCCACGCAAUGUAUCCUCUUCAUGGUUGUAUUUUGAAAUUUCCAUGAUUGUCAAUUAAUCAAAUGAUUAGGAAUUAUAAUUAACGGCCGCUUAGUGUUAGCUCUCAGUUACAAAGAAUGAGAGGAAUUUAUAGAACUAGUAGUUUUGAUUUACUUUUGCUUUUUAUCAAGUAUUUAUAAAUUAUAACAUAAUGAUGAGUAUUUAUUGAAAUAUUUUUAUUUACUUUGUUAUUUAUGAUUUUUCCCCUAAUUUUUUUGAGGUUCUUUAGAUCUUCAGGUUCUAGGCGAUGGCCUACUUCACCUUGGACUAGGGCAGGCCUAUUGUGUUUCUAGUACGUUCAAUGGGUAUUAAUUUUUUGGAAAAAUUACAUAAAACCUUACAUUUUAAUUAUAUUAUUUAAAACUAAAGAAAAUUAAUUCUAAUUUAAAAAAUCGGGAGAUAAUUAAAAAUUAUUAAAUUAAUCAAUACAAAAUUAAUAUGAAAAAUAUCUAAUCAAAUCUUUUCACCCACCCUACCUCCUUCCAUUCCAACAAAUUUCCCAAUCCCUAAUCAUUUUAACAUAUCCCUUCUCUCUGUAUAUUUCUCCAUUCUCUUCUCUCUCUUAACCACACACUACCAUCGAAGCGCCAUCAUCACUGGGCUCAAGACGCCUUCGGCCGGUCAAUGUCUUCGAUCUGCGAUCACUGAAGGAAAAAGGAAAGAAGCGCCAACAUGCGAUGUGUAGUCUUCGAUUUGCAGGAAAAAGGCGCCUCGGGUAGUGUUGCACGCAAAUGUGAAAAAAAAAAUGUGUACUACGUAUACAUUUUACCCUAUAUAUUUUCAAUAAUUUUAUUUGUUAAUUGUCAGUUUCUAAGUUGUGAUGUGAUAUUUGAAUUCAAAAUGCUCAAAAGGGAUAAAAUAUUACCAAAAAUCUAAAUUCAUGUUCUUAAGUUGUGGAUAUAAAGUUGUCUUUACCUUUUAAACUUGAAACUUUCAAUCAAUCCUAAUUAGUAUUUAAAAGCUCGAUUUUAUAGCUAGCUAAAAUAAAUUCCAACAACGAACAAAAUUUCUUUUCGAGUUUUAUGUAAUUUAUUAUACCCUUGUAGGUUGAGAAGUGCUUGAUACCUCUAUCUACUUUAGAAUUAUACUCAGAAGUUGUUAGCUUUCUUCCUUUGUGUCCUUGGAAUAAUGUUACCAAGAAAAGGAUUUUUGAAUUUUCUUGCUGUGGAUGUUUUAUUGAAGCUAUGGGAUUUCAAACAUAAUUUCUUGAGCCAAGAAUAACACUCAUCUAGUCAGCAGCAUUUGAAGGUACUUUGGUUUUUGUUUAACAUAAUUCAAAACUUUCAGCUAACUAAAGUAGUCCUCAGGUCUGAGGGAAAAUAAUUGAUUUUCAUAGAUUAAUUUCACUAUCUUAUUUAUAGAUCUUGUUUCAAUUUUAUUUUUCUUUCAGAGGGACUCCAAUGUAAGACUUGUGGUAAACCCCCAGAGGGUCAUUUUUUCUAUUAUGCACAUCAUAACAAGCAACUAACUAUUAAAGCUAGACAUCUUCCUAUUGACAAAGGCCUGGUGAAAUUGAAGUAAAGCUUUGGAUGUAGAUUUGCUGUGGUCAAUGUAGUCAUAGAUGUCCUAUGUUGUUCUAUUGAUAAUAAAUGAUUUUGAUUUCAAGGAUUUGGUUGUAAUGUAUCGACUUACAUAACAUCACAUAUCUAUUCACUC